rnacentral:misc_RNA from 1 species
GAUGAAGAACGCAGCGAAAUGCGAUACGUAAUGUGAAUUGCAGAAUUCAGUGAAUCAUCGAAUCUUUGAACGCAUAUUGCGCUCUCUGGUAUUCCGGAGAGCAUGCUUGUUUGAGUAUCAGUAAACACCUCAACUUCCAUAUCUUUUUUGAAAUGGGAGUUGGACUUGAGUGAUCCCAACGCUUUUCCUCACCGAAAAGUGGCGGGUUACUUGAAAUGCAGGUGCAGCUGGACUUUUCUCUGAGCUAUAAGCAUAUCUAUUUAGUCUGCCUAAAAAACAGAUUAUUACCUUUGCUGCAGCUAACAUAAAGGAGAUUAGUUCUUGUGCUGACUGAUGCAGGAUUCACAAAGACAGGCUUCGGCCGACUUUGUAAACUCGAUCUCAAAUCAAGUAAGACUACCCGCUGAACUUAAGCAUAGCAAUAAGCGGAGGA